CCCGGAACUCUAGAAAUCGUGAAGAAUUUCUUCCAUUUUUUUUAAUAUCGCGAAUAUAGUGGAAAAAACUCUAGAACAUUCCUUUGAAUCGAAUUGUUCAUUGGGUUCGACUUGUUGUUUGACAAAAUAGAAAGCUGAGAUUGGAAGAGC